rnacentral:rRNA from 1 species
AUUGAACGCUGGCGGCAGGCCUAACACAUGCCAGUAGAACGAGUGGCGGACGGGUGAGUAAUGACUGGGAAACUGCAUGAUGGAGGGGGAUAACUACUGGAAACGGUAGCUAAUACCGCAUAACAUCGGAAGUGCCAAGAUGGGAUUAGCUAUUAGGGGGGGUAACGGCUCACCUCGGCGACGAUCCCUAGCUGGUCUGAGAGGAUGACCAGCCACACUGGAACUGAGACACGGUCCAGACUCCUACGGGAGGCAGCAGUGGGGAAUAUUGCACAAUGGGCGCAAGCCUGAUGCAGCCAUGCCGCGUGUAUGAAGAAGGCCGUCGGGUUGUAAAGUACUUUCAGCGGGGAGGCGUUACCCGCAGAAGAAGCACCGGCUAACUCCGUGCCAGCAGCCGCGGUAAUUC